rnacentral:rRNA from 1 species
GACGAACGCUGGCGGCGUGCUUAACACAUGCAAGUCGAACGGAAAGGCCCUGCUUUUGUGGGGUGCUCGAGUGGCGAACGGGUGAGUAACACGUGAGUAACCUGCCCUUGACUUUGGGAUAACUUCAGGAAACUGGGGCUAAUACAGGAUAGGAGCUCCUGCUGCAUGGUGGGGGUUGGAAAGUUUCGGCGGUUGGGGAUGGACUCGCGGCUUAUCAGCUUGUUGGUGGGGUAGUGGCUUACCAAGGCUUUGACGGGUAGCCGGCCUGAGAGGGUGACCGGCCACAUUGGUCCUGAGAUACGGCCCAGACUCCUACGUGAGGCAGCAGUGGGGAAUAUUGCACAACGGGCGGAAGCCUGAUGCAGCAACGCCGCGUGCGUGAUGACGGCCUUCGGGUUGUAAACCGCUUUCGCCUGUGACGAAGCGUGAGUGACGGUAAUUGGUAAAGAAGCACCGGCUAACUACGUG